UGACAGUCUGACAGUCUCUCCGCGACUGACCAGUCGCGGCACCCGGAGCCCGGCGGCGGCCGCAGCCCAGGGUGCCAGCAGCGCGGCUGCAAAGCUGCUCCCGAGGCCAAGCUCCCAAAGGAUCUGUCAGCACUCCUGAUGUGUUGGGAGCAAACUGCUGUUUGUUCAUGUCAGGGAGAUGCUGGCUGUGAGCUGGAGGAGAGUGAAUUGUGCUCCAUUCAUGGAGCUGUGAAUGAGCCCCAGCAUCCCCAGGAGGGACCAGCAGCCGGGGUUCCACACUCGCCUGCGGCACAAGAAGCCACUUGGCAUCAGCAGGGGGCUGCCACUUGUGAGUGAGCAGAGAGUGAAAAUGUGGAGAAUGGAUUCUGCACCAGGGAUGGGAGUGUGAGGGAGCCUCUGGAUCCCCAGGGCACAUCAGCAACCAGCACUGAACACAAAAGGGGCCUCAGAAGAUUGCUGGGUGAAUGGUUCAGGAGCCAUCCCGUGGGCACGGCGCUGCUGAUUCUGCUGCUCCUGGUGCUGCUGCUGGCUUUGGGGGUGGUCUUGGCUGUGCUGGCAGCAGCAGCAGCAGCAGCAGCAGCACAGGUUCCAGUGACACCUGCGAAUUUGCCGUGCUGUCCCCGUGGCUGGGUUGGCUGCAAUGGGGUCUGCUACUACUUGUCAAGGGAUUACAGCAGCUGGGAGCAGGCUGAGGAACGGUGCUCGGAGCUCGGGGCCUCCCUGGCCAUUCUGAAGGAUGAGGAGGCCAUGGGUUUGCUCUUCCGCCUCCGCGGGCGAUUACUGGCUCGGGCUGCGCAGACGGGGCGAGCGCCUGCACUGGGGGGACGGCAGCAGCUACAGCUCCCGGGUUCCUGUCCUCGGCAAUUCCGACUGUGUGUACCUGGCUGAGGAGAGAUUCAGGAGUGAGAACUGCUCAAAGGAGCGGCCGUAUGUCUGCAGCAAGGCCCAGGCUCCCCUGUAACAGGGGCUGCAGAAAGGACCUUCUCCACGCUGGGCAGUGCCAGCUUCACCUCUCAGCCCAGCCCAGGGCUGUCCUUGCUCAGCUGCACCCUGUGCCUUGCCCUCGCUCUCAGGGUCACCUCAGUGCCUCUUCAUCCAUGCCCAGUGCCAGCGCUGGGCUGGGUGUGCAAAGGAAAAGGCUCUGCAAUCCAUCCUGCCCCCGAUGCUGCCUGGAGUGAGGACUGGACAAAAUGGGAUCGCUGAGGUCUGGUAUGGCUUUUUUACCCCAUCUACCAUGCCUUUGGGGUUGCUAGUCAUAGCAGGCGUAUCUUAGUGGUGAGUACAGAGGCCAACUCAGUCUUGCCUUCUAGUUUCUGUUGCAUUUAAAGACAGCUGAGGAAUGACAGAGGUCUGGGGUGGCUUUCUUGACCACAUCUUACCAUGUCUGUGGGCUUGCUGCCCGCAGUAGGGCUAUGGAACUGUCAUGGUUUGAGGCUGGCACAAUGCUAGUGCCCCCCAUAAAAUUACACUUUCCCUAGUGGCUUCUGUGAGAUGUGAUCAGGAACAGACCAAACAGGCUCCAACUUAGGCAUAAAGGAGACAAACUUUAUUAACUACAACAUCUAAAAAGGAACAGACACAAAACUAAGAAUGAAAACCUUCCAAAUACAUUCCUAUUCCUCCCCCUUUUCCUCCACAGCACGAAAUGACACCACAGAUUUCCACUGUCACCAUCUCUCAGAUAAUCAACUUUUGAAUCCAUCAUCACCCCUCAAAUAAUCAACUCUCAAGUCCAUCAGGGAGAAAGGAGUCCCCCCUUGCACCAUAGGCUUUCCCCUGGAAACACAAUUGAAACCUCUUGUGUUUCCAUGUGACUCGUGGCACUGCCCAGAGAACAUCAGCCCUCGUGACUUCUCCCCCCGCCAUGUCCAGUGCUCUCACCACUGCACAUGGACCAGGACUGCUUUUAGGGUUCUCCUUUUAAGGAUGCCUCGCCCAGCUCUAACAAAAGCAGCAGUCUCUUAGCUUUGGGACACCAGUCCCCCCCAAAUUUCACCCCCUGGGGCCGAGGGGCCUCAAGAACAGAGAUCUUCUUCUUUUCUGAAGACAGAGGGUGUUGAGAGCUUUGUAACAAGCUAGCUCCGAGCUAAAGCUCACAGUGAGAUUAAUUUGACCAAGACAGAAAAUGAGGGGAGUUGCCUUCCAAUUAAACUGUGUCCUUGGCCCGCGGAUCAAGUAAUGCACUGAGCAGGUGGUGGAGAAAAACAGCCUGGGAAAGUAAUAAGUAGUUAUACCAAAACAGCACGUAAAUAGCUGAUAGCUAGUUAGCCAAUGGUGAGCUGGGAUUUUGCACUAUGCAUGAGCUAAUUAAAGGGUGUAUAAUAAUCGGUGAUUCGGGAAUAAAGACGAGACUUGUCGAUCAUCAUAUGGUGAGCAAGUCUUCCUUCUCCAUCAAAUGGCUGACCCCGACGUCGAUGACUACGGACGGACACGGCUGCCACGGAUGGGGAAGUAGGAGCGGGUCCUUCUGAAGCAAGAGGGGGGACGGCAAACGAACCACUGGGGGUUCGCGGCCCUAGGAGCUAUAAAGAUAGUCCUAGCCUACGUGCUGCUGGAGUCUGAAAGCCUUGCAACAGCGCUGAUUAGAAAUGGAAAGGCAAGCAGCAUAUGAUUUAUUUAUUUGCUUUUUAAAAAAGCAGCAGAUUAAGGACAUAGACUUGCAGAAAGAGCUCCCACAGUUUUUAGCUUCCGGUUGUGCACAAGGAGUUUCUCAAGAUCCUUGUGCGCUACAUGAGUUAACAGAGUGGCGUAAGUUCGGGACCAGGAGGGCGGUUACGCGCGCCGCGGGAGAGCCCGGGGCAGACGCGGCGGCGAAAACGCGUAUGGUGGCGGCGCUCCCGGCGCUGCGGCGGCAGAGCGGACCGAGCGCUGCGGCGGCGGCAUGCUCGGUGCCGGCGGUGGUUACGCGCACCGCGGGUCCAGUGACACGCACGGUGACAAAAACUCGCACGGCAGCUGUCCGUGGGGAAAGCGCACAGAUCGCGACGGGGGUGCCGGCCAGGGCCAAGCCGGCCAAAGCGAGACGCGGGGCCGAAUACACAGCAGCGAUAAGCGCAGUGCCAAUGGUAGCGGCGGCGGACGCGCACCAGUAACGCGAAACCCGAAAGCUGGAGCUGGGAGGGCUUUUUCACUUUUUGCAAGCGCACAAAAGCACCAGCGGUGUGGGACGUGCUCCCGCUGGCUGCGGGUGUUGGCGCAGAGCCAGGGGGAACCAGCCCGAGUGGAGAUCCAGGCCGAGCGGAGCCCAAAGGAGAUCGGGGCUGCGCAGGUUCGGGCGAGAGCGUUCCUUUCCGCACCCCCGGGAUAGCGCAGACUGAGGCUGCCAGAGCAGGCAGGAGACGGGCACGGGCAGACAUUCCUCAAGGCACCGCCCUGUCACAGCUCCCUAGCAACCACAGCAGACAGCCCAUCGCAGCAAUUCAAACAAGUGUCUGAGAAAAAACAGGUCAGGAAUUUUUCCUUCAAGAUCAAGAUAGAAAACUUCUGAAAAUUCACACAGUGCUUCAUCAUACAGCAGAUGUUAUGCGGAGCACUUCACCCAACUGUUCCACAGACUUUACAGUCUGUUUACCAGUUUUUUUGUAAAUGUGUUUGCUUUUUGAAAGGUGAUUGAGUAUUUAGGUUUGAUGGCUUUAAGUUUGAUGACUUUAUUACCUUUCCCUUGCCUGAGGCGAGAACAACCUUUUAGGGGGGCAGAGUCUAAGUAAACUUCCUAGUUUCUGUUUGGACUACAUAUGAGAAGAUUUAAACUGUAAUAUUUCUGUAUACUAUGGGCUUUAUAGUCUUUGCUCUCUUCUAUUCAUUAAGAGAUGGCAUUAGAUAAAUGGAUGCAAAUGUGCUAAUUAUUUUGUAUUAUCCUUAUUUUAAGUGAAAUUAUUUGUGUUUAAGGUUAUCUGUCAUCUUUCUCAGUUUUGUUUUAAAAUAUCUAUCCAAGAUUCAAAAUUUUAAGAAUUAUUGAUAUUAAGUUUAUAAUCUUUGUUAUUUUCAGUUUUUAUAAGUAAUGCUAAUAGAUAAUGAUUGUUGUUAAUAUUACAUGAAUGCUUAGAAAAGGGGUUGUCUUAACUUCCUUGAACACUUGCUGUUGAUAAAUUGAUUACAUUAUGUGAAUUCUUUGAUUUUUGUGAUAAGAAUUAUUAUUAAGGUAUUGUUGUAGUAUUUGCAGCUAGCUUUCAUGUGUUUUCCUUUCAUGUGUUUUUCUAUUUUUUUUGUGUGAUCACCUGCAAGACAUGUGUCUCUUCAGGAUCCUGUCUUUUUAUUUCCUAACAAUUUAGAUGUUUCUGAAGGUUUUUAGCCAAAUUACCAGUUUUGUGGUUCUUUUAAUUAUUAUUACAGGAAUACUCCAGUACAGAAUUCAAGAAGUUUGCUGUAUUUGGAAAAUCUCUAUCUUGACAGAAACUUCAGAAGGAUUCAAUUAUUUGCUAGUUUAAUUAGUUUGUAACCCUAAGGUUUCUUGUUUAUAACAGUUGUUUUUAAAAGUCUUGUUUAAAAAAUAUGUUACGUGACACUCACCAAUUAGAGUUCGAGCUCUGGCCAAGUUCUAACUCUAUUUGGAUGGAGUGACUGACAAUCAACCCAGAUGUUUUUUGUAUCAAAAAGUAUUCAAGUCCUUUUGACUUGGCGAUUUGACCAUGUAUGACAGCUGAGCCAUUUUCAGAGGUGAUUUGGAGAAACAUGAAUCCGGACAUGAUUUCUCCAAUUCUCUGUCAUUUUAAGGUUUAUCAGCUGUCGCAGACUCUGGGAUAAGAGUUCAAUGUUGUAGUGUUUAGUAAUUUUCUGAUUUUGUAUGUGUUGUUGAUUGUGUGUAUUAUCUAAAUUAACUCCUAAUUACUCUUAUCUUAACAUUUCUUUAUGUAACAUUGCAAAAUGAAACCAGGACCCAUUCUUCACCUCCAGGAUUUUGAGAAGAUUCUUCAGUCCUGCAGGGAUGUGGGAUUUGUUUGUGUUUUAACAGGUGCCCUGUCUCAGCUUGAAAAGAAAACGGGGGAGCUCAGGGUAUUGGAGUGGCUCUCUCCACCGCUACAGCAACAAAGAACUUUGAGACUGAAAAUUUAAAUGAUUGCAUCCCUCAUAAAGAAAGGACGUCUUGGAGCAAUCCAAGUUACAGGAGCAGAGCCUUCCACAAUACGAUUGCCCAUCAAAAAGGACACGCUUGACUGGUAUUUGGUGAACUCUGGGGAGCUCCAGGAAGCCCUUUUAGGAGCUGGAGCUGUCGUGGAGACUGGGAAACUGCAUCCUAGUCCCCUCCAGUGGAUGACAGAAUGGGACUGGAUAACAAAGCCCAUUCGGAGUCUGUCACCAUUAAGGGGGGCUAUCACAGCCUUUACGGACGCUGGUAAAAAGUCCAAGAGAACAGCCAUGACAUGGAAACAGCAAGGACAGUGGUGACAACAUUUGUUAGAUGCAGAUGCCAGGGACACUCUACAGACAUUGGAACUUUUAGCUGUAGUAUGGGCAAUGAUGAAUUUAAAAGGUCCUUUGAAUAUUGUGACUGACUCCCUUUAUGUAGCAGGAGUAGCUGCCAGGGUACUAUACUGGGGGAGGGGAUAUCUUUGUGUUUCUCCAACAGGACCCUUGUGGAUCCCCGCGAAGUGGACUCGAGCUGUACCAGAUGUUCAGGACUGUCGCAGCCUUGUCACCGGAGGACAAAGAGAGGGUGCACAACAAACUGACGCUGAUAUUUGCAACGCCUCCAGCCCUACUCUAACGACGCGCGACGUGCCUGCGUUCAUCUUCCUGACGAUUGGAUCGAGUGGUGUCAGGACCUUACGGUAGAAGUAAAAGCUCCUCAAUCACAGCCGUGCCUGGACUGUGGGGACAAUAAAUGUGCUGCAUGGAUCGCGCUAGACUGUGGAGGCUGUAAUAAGGUGUUUUGGUUAGAGCAAUCGACCGUUCAGCAGAACUGGUGCCCAAGCUGCCGAUUCUCUUGGAACUUGCAGAACUCGUGGCAGCGAGCACUAAGGGAUUUUACAGGGCUUGAUUUGGGAGGAUCGUUAGGCUUAUAUGAAGCCCCGGAGCAAAUUAUCUUGGCAUAUGUUACUUGGCAACUUAAGACCUUGUGUGAGCGAGUAGAAAAGCAAGUACGUACUCACAUAAUAGCUUCGCGCUGUCGAAAGCUUGUGCCCCUCACACAGACAUCCACUGUUGGACCAAUUAAAAAGGACUGUGGGGUUGAGGAGGCACUAGACGACUGCAUCAAGCAACUUAAGUCCUGUUCUCUUCGCUCCAGAGGAACUGCCAAAUAGGGCAACCCACAUUCUGGAGCGAGCUGAAACAGGUAGUAGUAGCCACACUUUUACCUGGAGGGGCAGCUAAUAAGGCCAUGAAUUUGGCCAAGCAGUUAGGCUGCUGGGCCAAAGACGAGCUGAACGCCACCUCCCAGGUAUUGGACAUGCUGUCUCAAGAUGUACAAAGUGUAAAUCAUGCAGUAUUGCAGAAUAGAGCAGCAAUCGAUUUCUUAUUAUUAGCUCAAGGCCAUGGUUGUGAAGAAUUUGAGAGUAUGUGUUGUAUGAAUUUAUCAGAUCAUUCUGUAUCAAUAUGCUAUAGAGAUAUUGUGUGAUAGUAUUGCUAAUGCUUGUAUUACCGUGCUUACUUAAUUGCAUACAAAAAAUGGUGAGUCAGAUGAUGGAAAGGGCUUGGAAAACAACACUUCUGGCCCAAAAAGAAAACGGGAGAAAUGUUGAGAGCUUUGUAACAAGAGCUUUGUAGCUCCGAGCUAAAGCUCACAGUGAGAUUAAUUUGACCAAGAUAGAAAAUGAGGGGAGUUGCCUUCCAAUUAAACUGUGUCUUUGGCCCGUGGAUGAAGUAAUGCACCGAGCAGGUGGUGGAGAAAAACAGCCUGGGAAAGUAAUAAGUAGUUAUACCAAAACAGCACGUAAAUAGCUGAUAGCUAGUUAGCCAAUGGUGAGCUGGGAUUUUGCACUAUGCAUGAGCUAAUUAAAGGGUGUAUAAUAAUCGGUGAUUCGGGAAUAAAGACGAGACUUGUCGAUAA